UUAAGUUAGAAAGGGCGCGGGGCGGAUGCCUUGGCCGUGGACGGCGAUGAAGGACGUGGUAAGCUGCGAUAAGCUGCGGUAAGGUGCAAACAACCUUUGAGCCGCAGAUUUCCGAAUGGGGAAACCCGGCUGGUAUAAACCAGUCAUUCAUAAGUGAAUUCAUAGCUUAUGAAAGCAAACGCAGGGAAGUGAAACAUCUCAGUACCUGCAGGAAGAGAAAGCAAAAGCGAUUCCGUAAGUAGCGGCGAGCGAACGCGGAGCAGCCUAAACCGUAUGUGUGUCAAGCUUCAGGGCGUUGCAUAUGCGGGGUUGAGGGACAACUUGGGGUGCGCCUGAAUGCACCCAGAGAGUAGUGAUGAUUUAAGAGAAGGCUCUGGAAAGUGCCGCCAAAGAGGGUGACAGCCCCGUAUCUGAAAAAUCAUUGCCUUUCGAGUUGCACCCGAGUAUGGCGGGACACGAGAAAUCCUGUCAGAAUCUAGGUGGACCAUCACCAAAGGCUAAAUACGUUCCAUGGACCGAUAGUGAACCAGUACCGUG
rnacentral:rRNA from 1 species